rnacentral:rRNA from 1 species
GACGAACGCUGGCGGCGUGCUUAACACAUGCAAGUCGAACGGUGAAGCGCCUUCCUUUUUGGUGGGUGUGGAUGAGUGGCGAACGGGUGAGUAACACGUGAGUAACCUGCCCCCUUCUUCUGGAUAACCGCAUGAAAGUGUGGCUAAUACGGGAUAUUCUGGGUCUGUCGCAUGAUGGGUCUGGGAAAGAUAUUGUUUCGGUGGGGGAUGGGCUCGCGGCCUAUCAGCUUGUUGGUGGGGUGAUGGCCUACCAAGGCGGUGACGGGUAGCCGGCCUGAGAGGGUGGACGGUCACACUGGGACUGAGACACGGCCCAGACUCCUACGGGAGGCAGCAGUGGGGAAUAUUGCACAAUGGGCGCAAGCCUGAUGCAGCGACGCCGAGUGAGGGAUGGAGGCCUUCGGGUUGUGAACCUCUUUCGCCAGUGAAGCAGGCCUGCCUCGUUUGUGGGUGGGUUGACGGUAGAUGGAUAAGAAGCGCCGGCUAACUACGUG